UACGUAGGGGGCAAGCGUUGUCCGGAUUUAUUGGGCGUAAAGAGCGUGUAGGCGGCCUGGAAGGUCUGCUGUGAAAACUCGAGGCUCAACCUCGAGACGCCGGCAGAAACCCUCAGGCUAGAGUCCGGAAGAGGAGAGUGGAAUUCCUGGUGUAGCGGUGAAAUGACGCAGAUAUCAGGAAGAACACCCGUGGCGAAGGCGGCUCUCUGGGACGGUACUGACGCUGAGACGCGAAAGCGUGGGGAGCGAACAGG
rnacentral:rRNA from 1 species